UACGGAGGAUGCAAGCGUUAUCCGGAAUGAUUGGGCGUAAAGCGUCCGCAGGUGGCUAUGUAAGUCUGCUGUUAAAGAGUGAGGCUCAACCUCAUAAGAGCAGUGGAAACUACAUGGCUAGAGUGCGUUCGGGGCAGAGGGAAUUCCUGGUGUAGCGGUGAAAUGCGUAGAGAUCAGGAAGAACACCGGUGGCGAAAGCGCUCUGCUAGGCCGCAACUGACGCUGAGGAGCGAAAGCGUGGGGAGCGAACAGG
rnacentral:rRNA from 1 species